rnacentral:rRNA from 1 species
GGGGGAUUAUUGCACAAUGGGGGAAACCCUGCUGCAGCGCCGCCGCGUGAACGAAGAAGGUAUUCGUAUCGUAAAGUUCUGUCCUAUGGGAAGAUAAUGACAGUACCAUAGAAGAAAGCUCCUGCUAACUACGUGCCAGCAGCCGCGGUAAUACGUAGGGAGCGAGCGUUCUCCGGAAUUAUUGGGCGUAAAGGGUACGCAGGCGGUUUAAUAAGUCGAAUGUUAAAGAUCGGGGCUCAACCCCGUAAAGCAUUGGAAACUGAUAAACUUGAGUAGUGGAGAGGAAAGUGGAAUUCCUAGUGUAGUGGUGAAAUACGUAGAUAUUAGGAGGAAUACCAGUAGCGAAGGCGACUUUCUGGACACAAACUGACGCUGAGGUACGAAAGCGUGGGGAGCAAACAGG